GCGCAUGCAUUCUUUGUAUUUGACAAGUAGGUUGUCGGGAGUAGGGUGGAUUAUUAUGGGACGGGGUGAGCGAGAGUGAUCGUGAUCAUGAUCCAAGGGUUGAUGAGAUUGGGAAGAGUGUUGGUAUGGAACGAGGGUGAGGUCCAUGCCUAAAGAGACAGGAAAUGGAGGAGUUGUCUGCGUGUGCUGUUUAAGGAAAAAAGGGUUUUGCUAAUUUAGGAGAAGGAAGAUGAAGGAAGGUAAUAUGAGAGUGUUUUGUGGGUCUUAGCGUCAACUUGUAAUAAUCGUGCUUGUGGGAGAAGCGUG
rnacentral:misc_RNA from 1 species